rnacentral:rRNA from 1 species
CGCGUUCACUCCUACGGGAGGCAGCAGUGGGGAAUAUUGCACAAUGGGCGCAAGCCUGAUGCAGCCAUGCCGCGUGUAUGAAGAAGGCCUUCGGGUUGUAAAGUACUUUCAGCAGUGAGGAAGGCGGGUACGUUAAUAGCGUGCUCGUUUGACGUUAGCUGCAGAAGAAGCACCGGCUAACUCCGUGCCAGCAGCCGCGGUAAUACGGAGGGUGCGAGCGUUAAUCGGAAUUACUGGGCGUAAAGCGCAUGCAGGUGGUUUGUUAAGUCAGAUGUGAAAGCCCGGGGCUCAACCUCGGAAUUGCAUUUGAAACUGGCAGACUAGAGUACUGUAGAGGGGGUAGAAUUUCAGGUGUAGCGGUGAAAUGCGUAGAGAUCUGAAGGAAUACCGGUGGCGAAGGCGGCCCCCUGGACAGAUACUGACACUCAGAUGCGAAAGCGUGGGGAGCAAACAGGAUUAGAUACCCUGGUAG